rnacentral:rRNA from 1 species
UCAGCAUCCACAAAGCCUUUUUCAACUUUUGACCUCGGAUCAGGUAGGGAUACCCGCUGAACUUAAGCAUAUCAAUAAGCGGAGGAAAAGAAACCAACAGGGAUUGCCCUAGUAACGGCGAGUGAAGCGGCAACAGCUCAAAUUUGAAAUCUGGCUCUUUUAGAGUCCGAGUUGUAAUUUGCAGAGGGCGCUUUGGCUUUGGCAGCGGUCCAAGUUCCUUGGAACAGGACGUCACAGAGGGUGAGAAUCCCGUACGUGGUCGCUGGCUAUUGCCGUGUAAAGCCCCUUCGACGAGUCGAGUUGUUUGGGAAUGCAGCUCUAAAUGGGAGGUACAUUUCUUCUAAAGCUAAAUAUUGGCCAGAGACCGAUAGCGCACAAGUAGAGUGAUCGAAAGAUGAAAAGCACUUUGGAAAGAGAGUCAAACAGCACGUGAAAUUGUUAAAAGGGAAGCGCUUGCAGCCAGACUUGCUUACAGUUGCUCAUCCGGGCUUUUGCCCGGUGCACUCUUCUGUAGGCAGGCCAGCAUCAGUUUGGGCGGUAGGAUAAAGGUCUCUGUCACGUACCUCCUUUCGGGGAGGCCUUAUAGGGGAGACGACAUACUACCAGCCUGGACUGAGGUCCGCGCAUCUGCUAGGAUGCUGGCGUAAUGGCUGUAAGCGGCCCGUCUUGAAACACGGACCAAGGAGUCUAACAUCUAUGCGAGUGUUUGGGUGUCAAGCCCGAGCGCGUAAUGAAAGUGAACGGAGGUGGGAACCCGCAAGGGUGCACCAUCGACCGAUCCUGAUGUCUUCGGAAGGAUUUGAGUAAGAGCAUGGCUGUUGGGACCCGAAAGAUGGUGAACUAUGCUUGAAUAGGGUGAAGCCAGAGGAAACUCUGGUGGAGGCUCGCAGCGGUUCUGACGUGCAAAUCGAUCGUCAAAUUUGGGCAUAGGGGCGAAAGACUAAUCGAACUAUCUAGUAGCUGGUUCCUGCCGAU